rnacentral:lncRNA from 1 species
UAUCAUAAAAAGGGGUGGGGGAGAGUAGAUCAGGCAGACACAAUCACUGAAGGAGGAGAGUACAGGAGAUUUAGAGGAAGAAGAUCUGUGAAGAGGUUUGGGAGGAGUUAAGAAGGGAAAGCAAUCAGUCAUUCUUCCAAAGGCCAGUCUGCAGGGCUGGGACUGAGCACAGGCUGAAAUCAAGGUUGGACCACCUCUCAGCCCUUCUCAAGCCCUCCAGGCCUAGCAGUCUCCAUCUGAUCCUGUAUUGGAAAUGGGCAUGGAAGAUGCCACAACUUCUCAAGCUUUCCCUAGGAAAAGGGGUGGGUGAACUUCUGGCCUGAAGAAUCUGAGGAUGGAAGGUCAACUUUGCUCUUCUCCGGGGUUCUGGAACCAGACCUUCCUAACCUGCUCUGCUCACCUGGAGCCCCAGCCCACUGUCACCCAUGCCCUCAUCUCCAGACUGUUCUUCCAGCAACUAGGCUUGCAAAGCAGAGAUGGUGGGUUGGAGCACCAGCUUCCGUGUCAAGCAGGGCGGGCUGCACUCCCAGCGCCCUGGUGCCUCUGGCUCUCGAGGCUUGUUCCUCAUCUCUAGCUCCCUCACAGAGUUGUCCUGAGGCUCACAAUGGGAACACGUCAAUAAAUUACCUAUUGCAUUAAAAUGAGUUGUUAUUAUUG